rnacentral:sRNA from 1 species
UCCAGAUUAUAUGGUAGAUCUAGCAAAAUCUAGCUACAUCUACGUUUCGCUAUAGUUUAAGAUAUAGUCUUUAACUAUAAUUUAGAGCCUAGGCCUAGGUAGAUUCUAGAAGUAGAUCUAGAUAGUGAAUUGAAAGAAUAGAUCUAGAUCUAGUAUUAGUAAUUAGAAUGACAUAGCCCAGACUCAGAAGACCAAGAUGCGCAGUUUGGCGAAAAGAAAUUAGGUAUGUUCUUGAUCUGCUAGACCUAUCUCAAAGUGCUUAUAAUAAGCAAAAGCCAGUUAUGACUUGCCACAACCAGUACACCAGCACCUUGCUAACCAUAUUGAUAGUCAGGAAUGGGUUCACUUGUUUAUGAUAAGGUUAUAUCACGAUGUUAAUGAGAUACCGCGUCAACAUACUCUGCGCUACUUAGUGUGGCUGCUUGCCACGCAUAGCAAGUGCUUUGAAUAGAUGCACUUGACAGUCGCCUAUUAUAACGAGUUGAUCCAGUUAGAAGUUUGCAGUGGUUAGGACAGUUCUACGUUAGCGUUGUAUCCACAAAAUAUAGUAUGCACACACAUCAUAUCUCCAGGGAAGGCUAAAGAAGAGAGCAGUUGUUUGUUUGGAAUAUGAACUGUAUACAUGGACAUGUGAUAAGUGAUGUAUUACAUUAAAUGAAAGACCUCUAGUUUUGUACAAUUAUAAUCCUGUUUUAAUCUGUUAAAAUCUAUCUUGUGAUUGUUUCUGACAUCUUUUACUCCACUUUGGCUUGCAUGUCCUAUUGAAGACUAGUUGUCUUUUUAUUUUGAUAAAAGUGAAUUAAAUAAGGAAUUAUUCUAUA